UUCAGAGGUCCCUUAGAAUGCAUAGGACCCAUCCUUUUUGUUUCUUUGUGGUUUAGGAUACAGCAUUGCCAUUUGAUAUAGGACUACUUACUAGCCUAUGGUUUUCCAGCAGAUAUUUUAGUGAUAUGAUUUCUUGUCAUCCAAAUACCGCCUGUCUAAAGGUAACGCUUAAUUAAAAUGAAUCAUGCUUCCGCAAGAAAUCAGCAUGGCAUUGCAGCCUUGCUAUUUGUAAACUCUUUUUGAAUCUAUCUAUAGCUCAGCAAAACUAGAAAUAGGAAGCAAAGCAAUGUGGCUACACUCUAUGGCAUCUUCCUUAGGUGUUUCAUCCACAGGAACAGCUUUGGAGCUGUGACAGCACUUCUGCCGAGAGAGGCUGUAUUGUUCUAAAGCUGCAAGAUGUGGAACUUGCUGGCCAAACUGGGGGAGAGAGAUCAGACAUUGGCUUGAAAUGCUUCCACACAGAGGUGACGUUCAUUCACUUGUUGUUUCAUCAUUGUGAGUGAGGGGUCAUUGUCACCUCACACCAGAAAAAGGACAAAGCAGAGGCAAUGCUUGCUGACAUCAAAGCUUUAUUUGUUCCAGAAAAGUAGAAGGAUACUUUCCUUUUUCUUACUCUUAGAGAAAAGGGGUUGGAUCAUUCAAGAGAAGGAAUGUGUGCCUCAGCACUGAAGUGGGGGGAACUUAAACUCAAGUGCCGGGGUCUUGGGAGCCAUGUUGAUGUCUUUCUCUGAUGACAUGGACAGGAAUUGGAUGCCUUGAGCAACAGAGCAUCAUGCCUGAGAAUGGACAACAUGGGCUUAGACAAGGAUCAUUUCAGGGUCCCCUAUGACGGAAUAGAAACUAGAGUCCAUUCCUUAAGGGUUUUAGGAAGAGCAUAUUUCUUCUGAAACUGUGCAGAAGAUCCCUGUGUCUUAUAUUACAUAUCUCACCAU